rnacentral:rRNA from 1 species
UUGGGAAUCUUGCACAAUGGGGGAAACCCUGAUGCAGCGACGCCGCGUGGAGGAUGAAGGAUCUAGGUCUGUAAACUCCUUUUAUCGGGAAAGACUUAGGACGGUACCCGAUGAAUAAGGACCGGCUAACUACGUGCCAGCAGCCGCGGUAAGACGUAGGGUCCAAGCGUUGUCCGGAUUUACUGGGCGUAAAGAGCACGUAGGCGGCUUGUUAAGUGUGAAGUGAAAUCUCCAGAGCUCAACUCGGAAACCGCUUCGCAUACUGGCAAGCUAGAGGAAUGCAGAGGUAAGUGGAAUUCCUGGUGUAGCGGUGAAAUGCAUAGAUAUCAGGAGGAACACCCAUGGCGAAGGCAGCUUACUGGGCAUUAUCUGACGCUGAGGUGCGAAAGCGUGGGGAGCAAACAGG